rnacentral:rRNA from 1 species
CGAUACGACCGUACCGCAAACCGACACUGGUGCGCGAGAUGAGUAUUCUAAGGCGCUUGAGAGAACUCAGGAGAAGGAACUCGGCAAAUUGACACCGUAACUUCGGAAGAAGGUGUGCCCUAUUAGUGUGUAGUGAACAACGAAGCAUGAAUGGGUUGCAAAAAAUCGGUGGCUGCGACUGUUUAUUAAAAACACAGCACUCUGCAAACACGAAAGUGGACGUAUAGGGUGUGACGCCUGCCCGGUGCUGGAAGAUUAAAUGAUGGGGUGCAAGCUCUUGAUUGAAGUCCCAGUAAACGGCGGCCGUAACUAUAACGGUCCUAAGGUAGCGAAAUUCCUUGUCGGGUAAGUUCCGACCUGCACGAAUGGCGUAACGAUGGCCACACUGUCUCCUCCUGAGACUCAGCGAAGUUGAAAUGUUUGUGAUGAUGCAAUCUCCCCGCGGAAAGACGGAAAGACCCCAUGAACCUUUACUGUAGCUUUGUAUUGGACUUUGAACAGAUCUGUGUAGGAUAGGUGGGAGGCUUUGAAGCAGGGUCGCUAGAUCUUGUGGAGCCAACGUUGAAAUACCACCCUGGUGUGUUUGAGGUUCUAACCUAGGUCCAUUAUCUGGAUCGGGGACAGUGCAUGGUAGGCAGUUUGACUGGGGCGUCUCCUCCCAAAGCGUAACGGAGGAGUUCGAAGGUACGCUAGUUACGGUCGGACAUCGUGACGAUAGUGCAAUGGCAUAAGCGUGCUUAACUGCGAGACUGACAAGUCGAGCAGAUGCGAAAGCAGGACAUAGUGAUCCGGUGGUUCUGUAUGGAAGGGCCAUCGCUCAACGGAUAAAAGGUACUCUGGGGAUAACAGGCUGAUACCGCCCAAGAGUUCAUAUCGACGGCGGUGUUUGGCACCUCGAUGUCGGCUCAUCUCAUCCUGGGGCUGUAGCCGGUCCCAAGGGUAUGGCUGUUCGCCAUUUAAAGAGGUACGUGAGCUGGGUUUAAAACGUCGUGAGACAGUUUGGUCCCUAUCUUCCGUGGGCGCUGCAGAUUUGAGGAAGCCUGCUCCUAGUACGAGAGGACCGGAGUGGACACACCUCUGGUGUAUCGGUUGUCACGCCAGUGGCAUUGCCGAGUAGCUAAGUGUGGAAGAGAUAACCGCUGAAAGCAUCUAAGCGGGAAACUCGUUUCAAGAUGAGAUCUGCCGGGGCCUUGAGCCCCCUAAAGAGUCGUUCAAGACCAGGACGUUGAUAGGUCAGGUGUGGAAGCG